GCUGGGUGUGGUGGCGGGCGCCUGUAAUCCCAGCUACUCAGGAGGCUGAGGCAGGAGAAUUGCUUGAACCUGGGAGGCGGAGGUUGCAGUGAGCUGAGAUCGCACCACUGCACUCCAACCUGGGUGACAGAGCAAGACUCUGUCUCAA
rnacentral:SRP_RNA from 1 species